rnacentral:rRNA from 1 species
AGAGUUUGAUCCUAGCUCAGGGUGAAUGCUGGCGGCGUGGAUAAGGCAUGCAAGUCGAGUGGGUUUAGACCCACGGCAGACGAGGUAGUAACACGUAGGAACGUACCCCGAAGUCUGGGAUAUUCUGUCGAAAGACAGCGCAAUACCAGAUGGUCUCUAAGGAGUAAAGAUUUAUCGCUUCGGGAGAGGCCUGCGCAAUAUCAGCUAGUUGGUGAGGUAAUGGCUCACCAAGGCUAUGACGUUUAGGGGAGCUGAGAGGCUGACCCCCACCGAUGGAACUGAGAUACGGUCCUUACUCCUACGGGAGGCCGCAGUCGAGAAUCUUCCGCAAUGGACGAAAGUCUGACGGAGCGACGCCGCGUGGUGGAUGAAGUCCCUCUGGGACGUAAACACCUUUUAUAGGGGAUGAAGUUUUGACAGUACCCUAAGAAUAAGGGGCUCCUAACUCUGUGCCAGCAGGAGCGGUAAUACAGAGGCCCCAAGCAUUACCCGGAAUCACUGGGCGUAAAGGGUGCGUAGGUGGCGUGAUUAGUCCUUCUUUAAAUUCCUCGGGCUCAACCCGAAGACUCGGAGGGAAACGGUCAUGCUGGAGGGUGUACGAGGUGUGUAGAACUCUAGGUGUAGGGGUGAAAUCCGUUGAUAUCUAGGGGAAUACCAAAUGCGAAGGCAGCACACUGGGACAUUCCUGACACUGAGGCACGAAAGCGUGGGUAGCGAAAAGGAUUAGAUACCCUUGUAGUCCACGCCCUAAACUAUGUUCUCUGGCUUUGAGGAGUAUCGACCCUCUUCGAGGCGAAGCUAACGCGUUAAGAGAACCGCCUGGGUAGUACGAUCGCAAGAUUAAAACUCAAAGGAAUAGACGGGAACUCGCACAAGUAGUGGAUCAUGUGGCUUAAUUCGUAGGUAAGCGAAGAACCUUACCAAGACUUGAAACCUAGCUGCACGGCCUCCGAAAGGAGAUCAGCCUUCGAGGGUGCUAGGCAGGUGGUGCAUGGUCGUCGUCAGUUCGUGGCUUGAGCUGUUCCCUUAAGUGGGGAAACGAACGCAACCCCCGUUGCCUGUUUUAAAUGUCAGGCGAGACUGCUCCCUCACGGGAGAGGAAGGUGGGGAUGACGCCAGAUCAGCAUGCCCCUCUGAUGUCUUGGGCUGCACACGUGAUACAAUGGCAACAACAAAGAGACGCAAGACGGUAACGUGGAGCAAAUCUCAAAAUGUUGCCUCAGUACGGAUUGAGGUCUGCAACCCGACCUCAUGGAGCUGGAAUUACUAGUAAUCGUGGGUCAGCCAUACCACGGUGAAUACGUUCUCGAGUUUUGUACUCACCGCCCAUCAACUCAAGGGAGCCGGGAAUAUCCGACGCUCGCGUUUAUCGCGGUCCACGGUAAGUUCGGUGACAGGGAGUAAGUUGUAACAAGGCA